rnacentral:rRNA from 1 species
UGGGGAAUAUUGCACAAUGGGGGAAACCCUGAUGCAGCGACGCCGCGUGGAGGAAGAAGGUCUUCGGAUUGUAAACUCCUGUUGUUGGGGAAGAUAAUGACGGUACCCAACAAGGAAGUGACGGCUAACUACGUGCCAGCAGCCGCGGUAAAACGUAAGUCACAAGCGUUGUCCGGAAUUACUGGGUGUAAAGGGAGCGCAGGCGGGAAGACAAGUUGGAAGUGAAAUCUAUGGGCUCAACCCAUAAACUGCUUUCAAAACUGUUUUUCUUGAGUAGUGCAGAGGUAGGCGGAAUUCCCGGUGUAGCGGUGGAAUGCGUAGAUAUCGGGAGGAACACCAGUGGCGAAGGCGGCCUACUGGGCACCAACUGACGCUGAGGCUCGAAAGUGUGGGUAGCAAACAGGAUUAGAUACCCUGGUAGUCCACACCGUAAACGAUGAUUACUAGGUGUUGGAGGAUUGACCCCCUCAGUGCCGCAGUUAACACAAUAAGUAAUCCACCUGGGGAGUACGACCGCAAGGUUGAAACUCAAAGGAAUUGACGGGGGCCCGCACAAGCAGUGGAGUAUGUGGUUUAAUUCGAAGCAACGCGAAGAACCUUACCAGGUCUUGACAUCCGAUGCAUAGCACAGAGAUGUGUGAAAUCCUUCGGGACAUCGAGACAGGUGGUGCAUGGUUGUCGUCAGCUCGUGUCGUGAGAUGUUGGGUUAAGUCCCGCAACGAGCGCAACCCUUAUUGCCAGUUACUACGUUAAGAGGACUCUGGCGAGACUGCCGUUGACAAAACGGAGGAAGGUGGGGAUGACGUCAAAUCAUCAUGCCCUUUAUGACCUGGGCUACACACGUACUACAAUGGCGUUAAACAAAGAGAAGCAAGACCGCGAGGUGGAGCAAAACUCAAAAACAACGUCUCAGUUCAGAUUGCAGGCUGCAACUCGCCUGCAUGAAGUCGGAAUUGCUAGUAAUCGCGGAUCAGCAUGCCGCGGUGAAUACGUUCCC